CGGGUGAGUAACGCGUAGGUAAUCUACCCUUAUGACUGGGAUAACAUUGGGAAACUGGUGCUAAUACCGGAUACACUUCUUUACUGCGGGGUAAAGGAGGAAAGGUGGCCUCUUCAUGAAAGCUACAGUAUAGGGAUGAGCCUGCGUACCAUUAGCUAGUAGGCGGGGUAACGGCCCACCUAGGCAACGAUGGUUAGCGGGUCUGAGAGGAUGAUCCGCCACACUGGAACUGGAACACGGACCAG
rnacentral:rRNA from 1 species